rnacentral:misc_RNA from 1 species
GAUAUUGGCGAGGGCGUGGCAGUGGUGGCUUCAAUCGUGAGUCUUCCAAUAAUGAGCACUCAUUUAGUAGUAACCCUGAAGAUGGAGAGACUGUAAGGACAACAGAAAGGCGUGGUGGAUAUGGUGGACCUCGUGGUCGUGGUGGCCGUCGUGGUGGUUUUAAUAAUGGAGAUUCUGUUGAUGGUGAACGCCCUCGUGGUGUAUUUGAACGCCACAGUGGGACUGGCCGAGGAAAUGAAUUCAAGCGUGAAGGGUCUGGGCGUGGAAACUGGGGAAGGUCAACUGACGAAUUUCCUGAGGUUACAGAGGAAGUUAAUGAAUCUGAGAAGAAGUUAGGUGAUGAGAAGCCCGUUCAUGAGGAUGAUACUGCAGGUGUCAACAUCGAGAGCUCUGCAAAAGAAUCAGAGGAAAAAGAACCAGAAGACAAGGAAAUGACUCUGGAGGAGUAUGAAAAAUUGCUGGAGGAGAAAAGGAAGAGCCUUCUGGCAUUAAAAACUGAGGAGAGGAAGGUGGAUCCUAAAGAGUUUGCAUCCUUGCAACAGCUUUCAAGCAAAAAGGAAAACCAGGACGUCUUUAUUAAAUUGGGAUCUGAUAAGGAUAAGCGAAAAGAAACUGCAGAUAAGGAGGAGAGAACUAAGAAGUCUUUGACUAUCAAUGAGUUCUUGAAGCCAGCCGAAGGAGAGAGACACUUCACUCCAGGUGGUCGGGGUAGGGGCCGGGGCCGUGGUUCAAGGGGAGGUUUUGUUGGCAGCUCGGUGAGCAGCAAUGUUGCAGCCCCGUCGAUUGGGGAUCCGGGGCAGUUCCCAACCUUAGGUGCGAAAUGAAAUUCUGAAUAAAUUGCACUCAAAACUGUGCCAUAUGGUUUUGGGGGCUCUCUCUUUUAUGUGGGGCAGGGCAGGGCAGGGAAAGAAGUUGACUAGAAUAAUAGAGUUUUUGCUUCCCUGUAUAAAGAGUUGCAAAGUUUAUUUGUUUGAAUGUAAAUUGUCAAAGCUAUGUAUUUUUCCUUCUCACGCUUUUCCAUUAUGUGUUUUUCAA